rnacentral:rRNA from 1 species
AUCCUCAACGUGGAUGGUCUCGAAGGUUCCCUUAUGCUUCUCCCUGUUCUUGAUCACACCAACACGCCCAGUGUUGCGCCCACCAGUAACCAUGACCACAUUGCCGACGUCAAACUUGAUGAAGUCAACAAUCUUGUUGGUCUCCAGGUCGAGCUUGAUGGUGUCAUUGGCCUUGAUGAGUGGGUCUGGGUAGCGGAUGGUGCGGCCAUCAUAGGUGUUCAGGUAGGGGAUGCCCUUCUGGCCGAACUGGACAGACCUGACCUUGCAGAGCUUGAACUGCACAUGAAGGAAAGAAACAUCCUCAUCCCUGACAGAGUGAAGGCGGAAGCGACCCUUGGUGUCAUAAAGAAGCCUGUAGUUCUCACCAGUCUUGGGAAUGGAAAUGAUGUC